rnacentral:rRNA from 1 species
CAUAUGCUUGUCUCAAAGAUUAAGCCAUGCAUGUCUAAGAAUAAGCCCUAGAACGGCGAAUCUGCGAAUGGCUCCAUUACAUCAGUUAUUGUUUAUUUGAUGGGUACCUUUGGCUUAACUAGCUAGGCUACUUGGAUAACCGUAGUAAUUCUAGAGCUAAUACAUGCUACACUAAUCCCUGUGCCUUCUCUUUCGGGAGGGGGGCUAGGGGAGCAUUUAUUAGAUUCAAACCAUCGUGGGGCGACCUGCUAUGGUGAGUCAUAAUAACUAAGCGAAUCGGAAAAACAAAAAGCACGCAAGUGCUUUUCCGAUGCUUCAUUCAAAUUUCUGCCCUAUCAGCUUUCGAUGGUAGGAUCUUGGCCUACCAUGGCGAUCACGGGUAACGGGGAAUAAGGGUUCGGUUCCGGAGAGGGAGCUUGAGAAACGGCUACCACAUCCAGGAUGGCAGCAGGCGCGCAAAUUACCCAAUCCCGACACGGGGAGGUAGUGACAAUAGGUAACAAUGCUGGGCUGCUUUCGUAGCRCGGCAAUUGGAAUGAGAGUAAGAUACAUCUUACAUUGUUUAAACCCAUAUUCGAGGAGCCAUUGGAGGGCAAGUCUGGUGCCAGCAGCCGCGGUAAUUCCAGCUCCAUAAGCGUAUAUUAAAGGUGUUGCAGUUUAUUUGAGUUUGGGGAUUACUAACCCUUGGACUUGCAUUUCGGUGUGAUUUCCAGUGUUGCUUGCCCUUUCAAGACCUCUCCAGCACCUUUUUGCUACUUCCCAGUGGGCGGAGGUGGGUACUUCUGAUUAUACAAAAGAAACUUUUGUUUCUCUUGUGUGUCAGAUAGUUUACUUUGAAGAAAAUAGCGUGUUCAAAGCAGGCGGUGAUUUGCCUACUAAUUGGCUUUUCUUUUUAUUAAGGAAAGUGCGACUUGAAUACAUUAGCAUGGGAUAAUAAAAUAGGACAUUGGUUCUGUGUUUCGACCUCCGAUCUUAGGUUCCCCCGCAAGGGGGAAACGGUUCGAGGACCGAUGUAAUGAUCAACAGGGACAGUUGGGGACAUUUAUACUCCAUGGCUAGAGGUGAAAUUCUUGGAUUCAUGGAAGAUAAACUAGGCGAAAGCAUUUGUCAAAGAGGUUUCACUGAUCAAGAACGAAAGUUAGGGGAGCAAAGACGAUCAGAUACCGUCGUAGUCUUAACCUAAACGAUGCCCGACUCGGGAUUGGACGAUGUCAUGGUGGAGAUUUAUAGGUGCAAACUUGUAAGUCUCACAAGCGGACUCGAGUCUUAACCAUAACGAUGCGAUUCGGAAUGGACGAAUUCAGUGUGAGAUUUAUAGGUGCAACUUGUAGUUCUCACAAGCGACUCGCCCAGCACUUCCGUAAUCAAACCACACAGGGAAACCGUUAAGUGUUUGGGUUCCGGGGGAGUAUGGUCGCAAGGCUGAAACUUAAAGGAAUUGACGGAAGGGCACCACCAGGAGUGGAGUUUGCGGCUUAAUUUGACUCAACACGGGGAAACUCACCAGGUCCCAGACAUGGUAAGGAUUGACAGAUUGAGAGCUCUUUCUUGAUUCCGUGAAAGGUAGCGCAUGGCCGUUCUUAGUUGGUGGAGUGAUUUGUCUGGUUAAUUCCGUUAACGAACGAGACCUUGGCCUGCUAACUAGUUGCGGUGGGUASCUUGGGAACACCGMGGGUGGAUCCUUUUGCUUUCGGGUAAGGGGGCCACUUUCGUUCCAGGCAUUAACGCCUGCUGUGUGUCCCUUGUCUUUGCGGACAAGGGGCCCGUGAAUUCAAAAACACAACUUCUUAGAGGGACAAUCUGCGUUUUUAGCAGAAGGAAGCAAAAGGCUAUAACAGGUCUGUGAUGCUCUUAGAUGUCCUGGGCUGCACGCGUACUACACUGACGAGCGCAGCAAGUGUCUAUCGACAACGAGGUUGCUUUUGGGUUUCGGGCUCAUUGGUGGCUUCGUUUUGCCUGUGGCAGAAAUGUCUGGGUAAUCUUCUCAACGCUCGUCGUGAUGGGGAUAGAUGAUUGUAAUUAUUCGUCUUGAACGAGGAAGUCCUUNNNNNNNNNG